AUGAGCUGCCCCAGCCUUGCCCCGUUCUGCCCCUUCACCUCUCCUAUCUGCCGGGCUCACCUCCUCCCCUCUGCCCCGCCACUCCUCCUCCUCCUCCUCCUCGCUGCCUGUUUGCCCCGAGGAGCCGGGGGAAGCGAGCCAGCCGCCUUCUCACGCAAACCUGGCCAAUCGUUAACCUGAGCCUCCGACUCCGGGGAGGUGUGGAAAGCGCGCAGGAGGCUGGCCCAGAGCGCCCUGAAGAGCUUCUCCAUCGCGCCCAGCCCCACGUCGUCCUGCAGCUGCCUGCUGGAGGAGCACGUCUCCAAGGAGGCCGAGUACCUGGUCACCAAGUUCCUGCAGGUCAUGGAGGAGCACAAGAGGUUUGAGCCCUACCGGUACGUGGUGGUGUCGGUGGCCAACGUCAUCUGUGCCAUGUGCUUCGGCAAGCGCUACGAGCACGAGGACCAGGAGCUGCUCGGGCUGGUGAAUUCCACGGAGAAGUUCACUGCUGUCACUGCUGCUGGCAACCCCGCCGACUUCAUCCCCCUGCUCCGCUACCUGCCCAGCCGCAGCAUGAAGCUCUUCAUCGACUUCAACAGGUACCUCCUCAGCUUCCUGCAGAAGAGGGUCAAGGAGCACUACGAGAGCUACGAUGAGAACAACAUCCGGGACAUCACGGACUCCCUCAUUGAGCAGUGCCUGGACAAAAAACUGGGAACCAACACAGCCACGCAGAUCCCCAAGGAGAAGAUCGUCAACCUCGUGAACGACCUCUUUGGAGCAGGUAUCCUUCACCUUUCCUCAGCUCUGGCAGGUGCUCUCAGGUCUUCUCCAGCUCCUCCUGCCUGACCCCUCCUUGUCCAACAGCAGGCAGCUGGUCUGGGUCUAAGCACUCGCCCUCCUGCUCUGGAAAAGUGAAGGGCAUGGGUUAUUCCCCUGAGGACGCAGAAGAACCUGCUCUCCAUCUUUUCUCUCCCCAGCACCACCAAGGACACGGUGUUGAACGGCUACUUCAUCCCGAAGGAUCGCUGCGUGUUCGUCAACCAGUGGCAGGUGAACCACGACGAGAAGCUUUGGAAGGACCCAGAGACCUUCAACCCCGAGCGUUUCCUCAGCGCUGACGGGACCAAGGUGAACAAAGAGGACGGGGAGAAGGUGCUGGCGUUUGGCCUGGGGAAGAGGAGGUGCAUCGGGGAGAACAUUGCCCGCUGGCAGGUGUUCCUCUUCCUGACCACGCUGCUGCAGCAGCUGGAGUUCAGCGUCUGCGAGGGCGGCACCGUGGACAUGACCCCGCUCUACGGGCUGUCCCUGAAGCACAAGAGGUGUGAGCACUUCCAGGCCAGGCAGCGCUUCCCCACCAAGGGCAGGAGCUGA